AGAGCUCCCUUUCCGCACCGCACUCGGCUCCUCUUUAACCGGAGAGUCCGCUGCAGGAGCGAAGAGUCCGUUAGCGGCCGCCGAAUAAUGGGAGCGCAGUCAGGCGCGAAGGUCGCCAUGGCAACGGAGAAUUUCGAAACCCUCCACCUUUUUUUAGAGUUAUUUAUGCAACGGUGCGUCACAAUGACAUACCCCGCCCCUUACGAACAGACCACGCCCCCUCCAUCUGCGUUUCCCUCCCGCUGAGGAGGAGGACGUAAUAGAAGAAGGUACUGAAAGGCUCUUUGGGGGUAGCAGGAGACUGAAGGGCCUUUUCUCCAUUCAUAAGACCAUUUGAUUACAAAAUGCCACCCAGGGUCACCCUCCUAACUUCCUUGUGGGAUGUAACCCAACUGCUAAAGCGCUGCUGAACUUAAUGUGACCAAAGCCAUCUGUGAACCUGACCCAACCAGCCAAGCAACCGCCACCCUAAACAAGAGGCACAACUGUAAGCAGCUUUGUCCAGCAGACCUCGCCAAAGAGCUGAUAUGCAGAGGAGUUUUGGUGUGAGAGAUCCCAAGCUUGGCUGGAUUUGUUCUGUAAAUGUUUCCUUUGGUACAAUGAAGUUGCUGAAGCCUCAAAUCCCCCAGUGCCUCAGAGAAAGCACUGCUCUGGAGUGAAGUAUGAAUUUUGACACCUCAGCUUUGCAUUGAGCUUUUUCAGAAGAAAAACCAAGGGAAAAAUAAACGUCAUAAGUUCUCACUAUACAGUUAAAAAAAUUCUCAUGAACUUUCACACUCAUUGGAAUGUCUUGGUGUCUCUUGGCUUGAAAGUUUUUGGAACAUUAAAAGUCAUUAAAAGAGCUAACUCACUGAUUCUGCUCCACAAAAACCCAUUUGUUUAAAGCACUGUUGGUAUCGGAAAAGAGAUAUAAUGAACUGAUUGUCAGUCUCUCGCCAAAAGAAUACUAAUGACGGUCUGAACUUUGGAGUGAAUUGGAAAUGACUGCAAUUUGGCCUGAGUGAUACUACCCCUUUAAAAAGAUGGCUGCAAUUUCCGUCUUCACACUCUCCCCACAAAGGCUGCUAAUGGCUUCAGGCAUUCGACACUCUCUCAGUGUAACCUGCUACACAGCUAAUGGAGUUCUGAGGCCUGGUGAUGUGUCAAUGCGCUACUCUUCCAGAGUGCUUGAGUUAAUUUUCUUAACUAAACAGCGUGGUAAAGUAAUAAAAUGUACAUCACCAGUUCACUGGUCACACCAAGGAAGAAUCUUCUGACCGAUCAUCCUUAAAGUACAGUCUGCUCUGCAAACAAAUUUACACAAAACAAACCCAUUUCCAUGUUUGAGCAGGGCUAGUAAUUUGUAAGUGAUCUGGUUGGUUCAUACUGGAAAAAGUAUCUGUUUAUGUUUACAUUAGUGCCACAUGACUGGCACUUCACUGAAUAACAAUAACAGCACAGUGCACACGUCUAUGAGCAGAAUCUGUUAACCUAUUAAUGCCAUUAAAACAACAAUAAUAAAUAUUAGGACACUUUGUAUACAUUGAGUGCAAAAGCAUUUCAUGUUGAAAUUUCACCAUACUGUUCGCGCCAUGCAAAAAAAUAAACAGGCAGAAUGUCUUCACAUGUAAAAAGGCAAACAGGGACACAGAUAGGCUACUUUUCAUUUGGGCAAAGUGAAAGCAGCAUGGAGAGCUUCAUCGCUUCACAUAUAGCUGAAUAUCUGAGCACAUGUAGCUCGGAUAUUUAUAGCCCAGUUUGAGCUGCUUUUACAGAUGCCAUCAUCAUUCAUGACAAAACAUAGGGUAGACUGAUCCUUUUGAUUUUGGUCAGAAAGUUCUAGUUGCUGGGACACAGCUCAUCAGUCAUCUUGGUUGUCCCCCCAUGCCAACGUCAGAAGUGACAGGUCAGUGAGUUCAUGGCUGCGUCCAGAAACUUUUGCUUUGCUUUUGCUUCUGAGAAUGAGCAGUAACGUUUGUUUGGUGUGCCUGAUAUCAUCAAAUACACACAUGCUCGAAUGAACUUACUAUGGUCUGACUACAUCGCAUAAAUAAAUCCCACUCUAUGUAAA